UUCCGUAGGUGAACCUGCGGAGGGAUCAUUACCGAGUUUACAACUCCCAAACCCCUGUGAACAUACCUAUUGUUGCCUCGGCGGAUCAGCCCGGCCCCGGUAAAACGGGACGGCCCGCCAGAGGACCCUAAACUCUGUUUUUAGUGUAACUUCUGAGUAAAACAAACAAAUAAAUCAAAACUUUCAACAACGGAUCUCUUGGUUCUGGCAUCGAUGAAGAACGCAGCAAAAUGCGAUAAGUAAUGUGAAUUGCAGAAUUCAGUGAAUCAUCGAAUCUUUGAACGCACAUUGCGCCCGCCAGUAUUCUGGCGGGCAUGCCUGUUCGAGCGUCAUUUCAACCCUCAAGCACAGCUUGGUGUUGGGAUUCGUGGAGCAAUCCACGGUCCCCAAAUCUAUUGGCGGUCACGUCGAGCUUCCAUAGCGUAGUAAUUACACCUCGUUACUGGUAAUCGUCGCGGCCACGCCGUUAAACCCCAACUUCUGAAUGUUGACCUCGGAUCAGGUAGGAAUACCCGCUGAACUUAAGCAUAUCAAUAAGCGGAGGA
rnacentral:rRNA from 1 species